CAGAGCUGAGGGCUCCUGGCUAUUCCUCACAGACAUUUCUCGGAAAGAAGGAUGGAUGAGCUAGAGAAAGAUUUCAUUCUCUUGAAUGAGGAAACUGAAGCACAAAGGCUGUUUUUGAGAUUUUUACUGGUUGAUGCCUCACCUGUGCUGCACAAGCCCCCAUAAGCCUUGGAUUUGUCCUUAAGGAAGAUUCCUCUAACAAGAGAUAAGCAACAAAAAUAGUCAUACGCAAUGACACAGAAUCUAACAAUAAUCAUCAACUAAAGAGCACUCUUGUCACAGUCAAACUCUGAGCAGAAAGACAAAAGACAAGAAGAAAUCUUAAUAAUCAACAAGUAUUCAUCUUUUAGCAACCAUCAUUUAUUCAACAGAAGUUUACUGAGCACCAAUCCUGUGCCAGACAAGAUGCAAGACUCUAAAAGUUCCGAAGUGAACAGGAAAAAUCCUGAUCUCACCCUUAGGGAAUAGUCAAGAGUCCUGGCCUCAGCCUGAUUUCUAUAUUUCUUCUAGUUUCAUCUUUUAUCUCAGUUAUAGGUCUGUACCAAGAGAAAAAUUGCCUAGUAAUGUGGUUUCUUUACAAGUAAUAAUAAUAAUAAUAGCUAAUACCUUUAUAGUGCUUACUAUGUGCCAAAAAGUAUUCUAUGCAUUUUCAUACAUUAACUGAUUUAAUCUUGAACAAUCUUUUGAGGUACCAUUAUGAUUCCUCUUUUUUACAAAUGAGGAAACUGAGGCAGAGAGAGGUUAAGUAAUUUACACAGAUUCAAACUAUUCACUACACUGUUCUUACUAGGGCAGAACACUGUAGAGAGUUGUUAUUUUUUAGCAACAAGGAUUAAAGAAAAUGUGAUG